rnacentral:rRNA from 1 species
UACGGAGGGUGCAAGCGUUAUCCGGAUUUAUUGGGUUUAAAGGGUCCGUAGGCGGACUAUUAAGUCAGCGGUGAAAGCCCACAGCUCAACUGUGGAACUGCCGUUGAUACUGAUAGUCUUGAGUACAAGUGAGGUUGGCGGAAUGUGUGGUGUAGCGGUGAAAUGCUUAGAUAUUGGGAGGAACAUCGGUGGCGAAGGCGGCUACCUGGACGGGUACUGACGCUGAUGCGCGAAAGCUAGGGGAGCAAACAGG